UACGGGGGGGGCAAGCGUUGUUCGGAUUUACUGGGCGUAAAGGGCGCGUAGGCGGCCAUCUAAGUCAGACGUGAAAUCCCCCGGCUUAACCUGGGAACUGCGUCUGAUACUGGAGGGCUUGAGUAUGGGAGAGGGAUGUAGAAUUCCAGGUGUAGCGGUGAAAUGCGUAGAUAUCUGGAGGAAUACCGGUGGCGAAGGCGGCAUCCUGGACCAUUACUGACGCUGAGGCGCGAAAGCUAGGGGAGCAAACGGGG
rnacentral:rRNA from 1 species